AGUGGGGAAUAUUGGACAAUGGGCGGAAGCCUGAUCCAGCCAUGCCGCGUGUGUGAAGAAGGCCUUUUGGUUGUAAAGCACUUUAAGCGAGGAGGAGGCUACUCUGAUUAAUACUCAGGGAUAGUGGACGUUACUCGCAGAAUAAGCACCGGCUAACUCUGUGCCAGCAGCCGCGGUAAUACAGAGGGUGCGAGCGUUAAUCGGAUUUACUGGGCGUAAAGCGUGCGUAGGCGGCUUUUUAAGUCGGAUGUGAAAUCCCCGAGCUUAACUUGGGAAUUGCAUUCGAUACUGGGAAGCUAGAGUAUGGGAGAGGAUGGUAGAAUUCCAGGUGUAGCGGUGAAAUGCGUAGAGAUCUGGAGGAAUACCGAUGGCGAAGGCAGCCAUCUGGCCUAAUACUGACGCUGAGGUACGAAAGCAUGGGGAGCAAA
rnacentral:rRNA from 1 species